rnacentral:tRNA from 1 species
GUUGUAGCUCAGUGGCAGAGUGCUUGCCUAGCAUGUGUGACGCACUGGGUUCAAUCCUCAGCACCACA